rnacentral:rRNA from 1 species
GUUUACGGCCAUACCAGCCUGGGUACGCCCGAUCUCGUCUGGUCUCGGAAGCUAAGCAGGGUCGGGCCUGGUUAGUACUUGGAUGGGAGACCGCCUGGGAAUACCAGGUGCUGUAAGCU